GUCAUUUAUCCCAUUUGUCAUGUAUUAUUUUAAAAUGCAAUAUUAACUUUUUUUUUCACAUUGUGCAGCUGUGCAUCACAGCUGGUUGUGGUCAGUAUGCUGUGACAUCACAGGUGGUUGUGGUCAAUAUGCUGUGACAUCACAGCUAAUUGUGGUCAGUAUGCUGUGACAUCACAGCUGGUUGUGGUCAGCAUGCUGUGACAUCACAGCUAAUUGUGGUCAGUAUGCUGUGACAUCACAGCUGGUUGUGGUCAGCAUGCUGUGACAUCACAGCUGGUUGUGGUCAGCAUGCUGUGACGUCACAGCUAAUUGUGGUCAGUAUGCUGUGACAUCACAGGUGGUUGUGGUCAGUAUGCUGUGAUGUCACAGGUGGUUGUGGUCAGUAUGCUGUGAUGUCACAGGUGGUUGUGGUCAGCAUGCUGUGACAUCACAGCUAACUGUGGUCAGCAUGCUGUGACAUCACAGCUAAUUGUGGUCAGCAUGCUGUGACAUCACAGCUAACUGGUCAGCAUGCUGUGACAUCACAGCUAAUUGUGGUCAGUAUGCUGUGACAUCACAGGUGGUUGUGGUCAGUAUGCUGUGAUGUCACAGGUGGUUGUGGUCAGUAUGCUGUGAUGUCACAGGUGGUUGUGGUCAGCAUGCUGUGACAUCACAGGUGGUUGUGGUCAGCAUGCUGUGACAUCACAGCUAACUGUGGUCAGCAUGCUGUGACAUCACAGGUGGUUGUGGUCAGCAUGCUGUGAUGUCACAGGUGGUUGUGGUCAGCAUGCUGUGACAUCACAGCUAACUGUGGUCAGCAUGCUGUGAAAUGCAGUGGCCUUAAUCCAUCUUAAUGCUUAAAAAGAGGAAAGCCUGAUUUACUAACCUGUUUGCUCAAGUCUCUUAUAUUUGGAUCAUUCCAAAUCAUUUUCUGAGGCCAGUGUUUCCAAUUCCUGAAGGCACGAUCAAAUUUCUUCUAUUCACUGUAUUUACUUCUAUUUUUUCUUUCAU